rnacentral:rRNA from 1 species
UCUACGGGAGGCAGCAGUGAGGAAUAUUGGUCAAUGGGCGCUAGCCUGAACCAGCCAAGUCGCGUGAAGGAUGACUGCCCUAUGGGUUGUACACUUCUUUUAUAUGGGAAUAACGUGCAGUAUGUAUACUGCUUUGCGUGUAUCCUAUGACUAAGCAUCGGCUAACUCCGUGCCAGCAGCCGCGGUAAUACGGAGGAUCCGAGCGUUAUCCGGAUUUCUUGGGUUUAAAGGGUGCGUAGGCCGUUUGUUAAGUCAGGUGUGAAAGUUGGCGGCUCAACCGUGAAAUUGCAGUUGAUACUGGCAUCCUUGAGUACAGUAGAGGUAGGCGGAAUUCGUGGUGUAGCGGUGAAAUGCAUAGAUAUCACGAAGAACUCCGAUUGCGAAGGCAGCGUGCUGGACUGAAACUGACGCUGAGGCUCGAAAGUGUGGGUAUCAAACAGGAUUAGAUACCCCGGUAGUC